UUCAUUCUGCCCUAUCACUUUCGAUGGUAGGAUAGUGGCCUACCAUGGUGGCAACGGGUAACGGGGAAUUAGGGUUCGAUUCCGGAGAGGGAGCCUGAGAAACGGCUACCACAUCCAAGGAAGGCAGCAGGCGCGCAAAUUACCCAAUCCCGAUACGGGGAGGUAGUGACAAUAAAUACUGAUACGGGGCUCUUUUGGGUCUCGUAAUUGGAAUGAGAACAAUUUAAAUCCCUUAACGAGGAACAAUUGGAGGGCAAGUCUGGUGCCAGCAGCCGCGGUAAUUCCAGCUCCAAUAGCGUAUAUUAAAGUUGUUGCAGUUAAAAAGCUCGUAGUUGAACCUUGGCCCUGGCUGGCCGGUCCGCCUCACCGCGAGUACUGGUCCGGCUGGGGCUUUCCUUCUGGGGAACCUCAUGGCCUUCACUGGCUGUGGGGGGAACCAGGACUUUUACUGUGAAAAAAUUAGAGUGUUCAAAGCAGGCCUUUGCUCGAAUACAUUAGCAUGGAAUAAUAGAAUAGGACGUGCGGUUCUAUUUUGUUGGUUUCUAGGACCGCCGUAAUGAUUAAUAGGGAUAGUCGGGGGCGUCAGUAUUCAGCUGUCAGAGGUGAAAUUCUUGGAUUUGCUGAAGACUAACUACUGCGAAAGCAUUCGCCAAGGAUGUUUUCAUUAAUCAGGGAACGAAAGUUAGGGGAUCGAAGACGAUCAGAUACCGUCGUAGUCUUAACCAUAAACUAUGCCGACUAGGGAUCGGACGGGAUUCUAUGAUGACCCGUUCGGCACCUUACGAGAAAUCAAAGUUUUUGGGUUCUGGGGGGAGUAUGGUCGCAAGGCUGAAACUAAAGAAAUUGACGGAAGGGCACCACAAGGCGUGGAGCCUGCGU
rnacentral:rRNA from 1 species